GUUCCAGAGCCAGGAUUUUAAUUCAGGACUUGGGGACUUUUCCACUAUUCCACCAUGAUGGAAUUUAUAUAGACCAAGUUUGAUCUAUUUGUUUCAGCACAUGUCCACACAUCAAAACUCAUGGCAAAUGUUCUUCAAUUUCUGCUUAUAAUUUCUUCUUCUUCUUCUUCUUCUUCUUCUUCUUCUUCUUCUUCUUCUUCUUCUUCUUCUUCUUCUUCUUCUUCUUCUUCUUCUUCUUCUUCUUCUUCUUCUUCUUCUUCUUCUUCUUCUUCGUCCUAAGCAAAUUUAUCUUCUUCUUCUUCUUCUUCUUCUUCUUCUUCUUCUUCUUCUUCUUCUUCUUCUUCUUCUUCUUCUUCUUCUUCUUCUUCUUCUCCUCCUCCUCCUCCUUCUUCUCUUUCUUCUCCUUCUUCUUCUUCUUUUUACCUUCCAUCUUAGAGUCAAUACUGUGUAUUGAUUCCAAAGAAGAAGAGUGAUAAAAGCUAGGUAAUGGGAGUUAAGUGACUUUCCCAGGGUCACAUAGUUUGAGAAGUAUCUGAGGUCAAAUUUGAACUCAGGAUCUCCUGUCUCUAGGCUUGGCUCUUUAUUCACUAAACCACUUUGCUGCUCCUCAUUGCUUCUUAUAUGAUGAAACUGCUUGAGGAAGAGUAGUCUGGAGGGUGCCAAGAUGAAUAAGGUAGGUUACACCCAAAACUGUGAAUGUAGCCAAUGCAAAUUCUGAGGGCUAGAUAGAACUGUUGCCUGUCUGAAACCAUUUGGAAAUGAUUUUGCAGGAUGAUGGAAUCUUUUUUUGAAAGUAGCCCAUAACUGUA
rnacentral:lncRNA from 1 species